GCUGGGUGUGAUGGUGCACACCUGUAAUCCCAGCAGCUCAGGAGGCUGAGUAAGGAGGAUUGCAAAUUCAAAACCAGCCUCAGCAAAAGUGAGGCGCAAAACAACUCAGUGAGACCCUGUCUCUA
rnacentral:sRNA from 1 species